rnacentral:rRNA from 1 species
CCUACGGGAGGCUGCAGUGGGGAAUAUUGGACAAUGGACCAAAAGUCUGAUCCAGCAAUUCUGUGUGCACGAUGAAGUUUUUCGGAAUGUAAAGUGCUUUCAGUUGGGAAGAAGUCAGUGACGGUACCAACAGAAGAAGCGACGGCUAAAUACGUGCCAGCAGCCGCGGUAAUACGUAUGUCGCAAGCGUUAUCCGGAUUUAUUGGGCGUAAAGCGCGUCUAGGCGGCUUAGUAAGUCUGAUGUGAAAAUGCGGGGCUCAACCCCGUAUUGCGUUGGAAACUGCUAAACUAGAGUACUGGAGAGGUAGGCGGAACUACAAGUGUAGAGGUGAAAUUCGUAGAUAUUUGUAGGAAUGCCGAUGGGGAAGCCAGCCUACUGGACAGAUACUGACGCUAAAGCGCGAAAGCGUGGGUAGCAAACAGGAUUAGAUACCCCUGUAGUC